rnacentral:rRNA from 1 species
GUGAUCUGCCCUGCACUUUGGGAUAAGCCUGGGAAACUGGGUCUAAUACCGAAUAGGACCACGCGCUUCAUGGUGUGUGGUGGAAAGCUUUUGCGGUGUGGGAUGGGCCCGCGGCCUAUCAGCUUGUUGGUGGGGUAAUGGCCUACCAAGGCGACGACGGGUAGCCGGCCUGAGAGGGUGACCGGCCACACUGGGACUGAGAUACGGCCCAGACUCCUACGGGAGGCAGCAGUGGGGAAUAUUGCACAAUGGGCGCAAGCCUGAUGCAGCGACGCCGCGUGAGGGAUGACGGCCUUCGGGUUGUAAACCUCUUUCACCAGGGACGAAGCGCAAGUGACGGUACCUGGAGAAGAAGCACCGGCCAACUACGUGCCAGCA